rnacentral:lncRNA from 1 species
UCAUCUAUACCAAUAAAAAAAUUCAAAAUUUGAUUCUUGAUAUUAUAAAUAAUUUAAUGCCUAACAAAAAAGUGAAAAAAAAACACAAUCAUCAAGAUCACUAUACAUCAGAAAAACCACAUAGCUUGUAUAUAAAUAUAUAUAUAACUACAUGGAACUAUACAUAACUACAGUUAUCUAUACGACUAAAUUUGACUCAAAUCGCACUUGUCAACACGAGAACCGCUUGUUUUGAACAACGAACACAAUCCACUCCGCAAAAACUUACUACAUAGUAGUUCAAACACCAAGACCUGUGAAAACGAAAAAGAGUUAAACAAACA